rnacentral:rRNA from 1 species
UUACCCACUCUCAAAAUGAGGAGGUAGUGAAGAGAAAUAACGAUGUUAGUCUUUUCAAGGCUGACAAUCGGAAUGGGAACACUGUAAAAAGGUUAUCGAUUAACAAUUGGAGGGCAAGUCUGGUGCCAGCAGCCGCGGUAAUUCCAGCUCCAAUAAGGAAAACUAAAGUUGCUGUGUUUAAAAAGCUCGUAGUUGAAUUUCGGGUAUUUGUUGCUAGUUGGUCUAACUGGCCAUAUUGGUUAACAGAUCCUCAUUUGCUGGACGGCUGGCGAUGAUCUUUAUCGAUUGUCGUCAGUUGCCAGAACGUUUACUUUGAGAAAAUUAGAGUGCUAAAAGCAGGCUCACGCCUAUAUAUAUUGCAUGGAAUAAUGAAAUAAGAUCUCGAUUUUAUUUCGUGGUUUUAGUAAUUAGUAGAUAAUAG